CUCAACUGGCCAGAAUGGUCCAAGGAAGCAGACUCUAAAUGAGGUUUUAGAGCUGGAUUAUCAUCCACUUAGCUGAAUGAGGACCACAUCACUGCUGCCCUGAGUAAGCCUUGCUGCCCUACCGGGUGGUUCGAAGUGAGAGCCAGAGAGGUGAGAGCCGUCUCGGAACUGGUCAUAGAAAAAGGGGCUGGAGAUGUGGCUCAAGCGGUAGUGCACUUGCCUGGCACGC